CAAAUAUUUGCACUUAUCUCAGUCAUUACAUUGCCUGCUUCUUUCAAAUGAUAUUGCAGAACCUGCGGAACUUCAUGGCCUCUAAAUGUGUCUGGGUGAAUUGGAGCAAGAUGAACGUUUGCAUAACUGUCUUGAAGCUAUAGCUUAUGAAUAAAUCAAAAGGUUUGGGACGUGAACGUGCUGGACUGGACUCGAGUCUGACGUCCCCUUUGUUAGUCUGGGCCGGCUGAGUUUCUUACAAAGUCACAGAUCAGGUUACUAGUUAUAUCACUUUGUGUUCAAUAAUUCACACGAUGAAUCACUGAAAUUCUUUCCAAAUACAGUCUGCGAGAGUGGGAGAUAGUCCGCGUUUUCAUUUGUUGAUAGAACUCCAUUUUUGGAAAUUUUCAUGAAAGUAAAAUGUUGUUUUUUUUAAAGCCGUUUUUAAAAACUCCACUGUGAUGUGCAACUGUAAAUUAGAGGGUUUAAACAACAUUAAUGAAUCACUUUGUAGCCUACUGAAGUAUUACGUGUUAUGUAAAAACUCCCUCGUAUUUGUAAAGCAAACAUUAAGCUACAGCAAUCAGAUGGUUAGCUUAUUUUAGCUUAGCAUUAAACAUGGAAAAAGGUGAAACAACUAGCCUGGGACUGUCCAAAAAAGAUAACAAAAUUCACCUACUAGCACCUUUGUUCGCUUUGUUACACGUUACAUCUUGUUUUAUCUGUAGCGAAAUGGGUUGUUAUGCUAAGCUAAGCUAAGCUAACCCUUCAUUUUAACGUGCAGACACAACAGUUGUAUUGGUCGUCUCAAUUAACUCUUGUCAAGAAAGCGAAUACGCAUAUUUCCCCCCAAAAUUGAAUAUUUCUUUAAACCUGUAAUAGUCUUUUCCUGCAUCUGAAAAUUAAUUUUUGGUAAAUUUACCUAGCUCACAGAUGCUAUUUACACUUAUAUCUGUGUAAUCUGCUAUAAUUUAAAGUUCUAUGGGUCUGAACAAGGUAUAG